ACACAGGUCACCAGGGAAGUGGGGGAAAGCUGGCAGUCACAGGCCUCACCCCUCUCCCACACAGCCCUCAGUCCUAAAGGCUGGUCUCACUCCCAUCCUGCCACGCAACAGCACAGGGUCUAUUUCGAGACAGCCAGUGACCAGGGCUGAGAACUUGCCCCAGACCACCAGCCUCCUCACUGAGAAAGCAAGCAGAAUCACAGUUUUUUGGAAUCUCAGGGAGCCUUCAGCGGCAAUCCAGUUCCUUCAAAGGGUCUGUGGAUUCUCUCAGUUUUCAUGGGGUGUCAGCUGUGACCCUCGAAGGAAAGGGAUCACCCUCUUUCUGACCCUAUACCACCUUCAGCAGGGAUGAAGGCAGUCAGAGAAAACUUAGUUAAAAAAUUUCUAAACUGCUUUGCUGAUUUGAUCUGGGGCCCUGGAGUGCCAACAUCCUGUGAUAGCGGCUGAUUGUUGAUGCCUGGGAGGAUACAGCAGUGACGAUCCAAAUUUACAAGACUCAACAUGGUUUUCAAAACUUCCUUUUAAAAAAGAUGUUCCUGAGUUCUGGAAUCUGAACAAAAUAUGUCUGGUUAUUAUAUAAUUCUAAUGGUCCUUGUGGAUGCUACCAUUAGAGUUCAGUUAGUGUCUCAUCUAUCACUGUAAUAUUUGUAUUGUAACACUAAUCGUGGCAAAGUAUGAUUUGAUAAAUGCUCAUUCUCAAAUCUUUUAUUUUAGUGUGUUCAUGUAAGAUUAAUGACCAUGAUGACUUGAGAUAG
rnacentral:lncRNA from 1 species